UUUUUUUUUUUUUUUUGUAGACUAAUAAAAAUUUAGAACAGCCAACAUCAUUCAUAUUAGUAUUUUUGUCUUCUUUUGAGGUGAUGAUGGUGGGCAGUAUUUAUCCUCCAAAAAUAACACAUUGGGAGAUAUUUAGAAUAUUAAAAAAUAUAGUAAAUAGUAAUUAUAAAAACCCUAUAGUUUUCAUCCCUAGCAAAAAGUCAGAUUAAGGUAUUUGCAGUAAAAAUUAGCAAGCAACCACAGUGUUGCUUUCUGGAGCAUGUUUCAAAAAAACAAAGUUUCUUCAUGUGCUGUACACAAAACAGUGUAUUAGAGAAAAAAAAAAAUCACACUAUCACAUCUUACCAUUACACUAUGAUCUGCUCCCCUUUAAAUCUUUUGUUAUGCCAAAUGUACAGGCUGAAGUGGAGUGCCUGAUUUUCAAGAACUGAAUGUUAGAUCCUAUACAUGAAUUAAUUGUCAGGUCUAUGCCAUUUUUAAAGCACUGUUCAACAGGUGUUAAUCUACCUGCUGAUCACCCAGAAGGAAGCCUCCAUUCCACCGAGGAAAUUAUUAGCCAGAAGCAUAUAUUGGAAGGUCAUCUCUUGAAUUUUACUGAACAGCUAUCCUGACAUAAAGGGUUAACAAGCAAAAAUCAGUGUGAUUCAAAGAGAUUUGUCUUCAAUAAAUGAGCUACAUCCUUCUCUUGUGAAAGAUUUUGUAAGACAGCAAUCCUAUACAAAUACCACUGGUGCUUUUAUAUUAGCCAACGGUCUCUGUAACUAGCACAGUUUACAGAAGUAAAAGGAUUUUAUUGAACAUCAUAUUUGCAAAGUUAUCAAUAACUUCAUACACAGCCCAAAAAUUGAAACAGUGAAAUGGGUGUGUGUAAAUGGAGGAAGAAAGGAGAAAAGAAAGAGGAAAAGUAGAGGGGGUGACAGGGGCUGUUUAAGCACCAAAAACCACACUUCCAAGGAAAAAUCUGCAGCAGUCUACAUGUACACAUAGGCAUUGACUGUUCAGCUCUUCAAAAGGCUCUGAGAUCUAAAAGACAUCUAUUUUGUUAAUAUUUCUUAUUUGGGUAAUAUCUUCUUAUUUUAUCUGAAUGACAUUUGCACGUGCAAUGCAUAGAGAAUAUACACCAGCAACAAGAGAUUUUAUAUUUAACAGUUUCAUGAUAUCUAAUAUUUUGUCAAACAUUUUAUAGGUUUUAGCUUAGGGAUAAAUUUGAAGCUGGCUUUUCCCCAGUGAAACCUGCAACAAUAGAGAAAUAUAUAUUGAAGGAAAAGAGAAACUAGGAUAUCGAGAAAGCCUAACAGAAAUCUAACAUUUCAUUUUAUACUUAAUAAUUACUUUCUACAGACCCCUUUGACUGGGAAAGCUUUUAUAUCUCGAAGUUGUACUGCUCAGCUAUGAUGCUGAAAAUCGCCAGAUUUUUCCUUGCUUCAGAUUCUAAAGUAUACAUAUGGUCUGUUUUCUGACAUGAAACAGUAGUUUCAAAUUCAAAUAGCAACAUUUCAUCUGCCAAUUCUUUACGUAAGGUUUAAUGGCUAAAAAACAUUUCAAGUCAACCUGUAAAACUCACUAUUGAGCAGGAAACAGCUAAUUUAAUAACAGCUAAUACAAACAGAAAUUUCAUGUUUUGUUGUAUAACUAUGGCAACUUCUACAAAUUACUCAUCCAGGACUUUUGUUAUGUUAUGUUAUGACUCAGACUUAGUGUUCAUCUCUCUCAACUUCCAGUACGGCAUCAUCUUUCUGAAAUGGCUCUGAACUGCAUUAGUAGGGCUGAAUGUGCCUAUCCAGCUGCCCAUUAAAAAUUACAAACACACAAAACUUCUUUCUGUGUGUGAUGGGUGUGAGCAGUGCCUAUAAACUCCGACUUUUAGCUCUGUGAACCCAGAUUGUUAGGUUGUGGUCUAUGACGUGGUGACAAGACCUAUUUUAUAUUCAAAGGAGUGAAAUUGCUAUAGUAUGUGACAAGGAGAUAAGUACACCCACCUAGUUUGUUUCAAAGUGGUUCGGUUCUUCAGCAUGUAUUAAACCCUUCCAGAUUUAUUCCCGGUGGCUGGCUCUUUGCCAGGGCUUGGAUUCUGUUCUGGUGUGCAGUGUGCUGAGUAUUCCCAGGUGCUGGUAUAUUUUUAUGCCUUAGUCCUUAUUUACAGUUUUUCUAAGGGCUGCUUUGAAGUCUGAACAAUCGCGAUGCAGUGCACUACAAAGUUCUUUCCACAUCCAGCAAUCUUUUAAUGUAGCCUUAAGUUAAGCCAUUUCUAAAUGAGAAAAUACAAGGAUGAGCAUUAAUAAGUUGUAAAAGGAUAGAGCUUGUUUCUUGCAUAAAAUUAAUAAUUUCAGUGUACCAGAAAUCAUGUGAACAAGAUAUCACAGAACAAGAUUAAUAACUUAAAAUAAUCAUUCACUCCAUCUUCCUAAAACUCUUUCACAAUGGCUACUAAUACAGUACUACUUUCAACUUUAUAGCUCCCCUUUUUACCAGCCCUACUAUUAUAACACUUGACAUGCUUGGCUGCCAUGGUGUAAUAAAGAGGGGUAAAAUGAUGCAUUAAAAGUCCCUGGUGCAAAUCCUAUUCGAAAUUUUUCAGUCUGGAAUAGGCAGCACAAAAAGGCAAUACCAGGAAUUUAAGGGUCAUAAAGUAGUACAAGAAACUCAGCUCUCCAAGUUUCAGUUAACUUUCUAAAAGCCAAAUCAACAAUAGCAAAAGCUGUAACGAUACGUUCAACUUUCUUUUGGAGAGCAGGCACCUAGAGAAUUGUAAGGGAGGGCAGGCAGGGAAGCGGCCACAUUAUGCUGCAGUGUUAGCCAGCAUCACUCAUAUGUGACUCUCAGCAGCUGUCUGAUGCAAGUAACUGCUCAGUGCCUGGGCAAACAACAUGGCACGGUAGCAUGCUUCACACCGUGAGGCAAACAGCACUCUGCGGAACAAGGAAAAUCAGAAUAAAGCUCUGAAAAAUCAAUCCUAUAUUUUGGGGGUUUAGUGCAUUCACUCCUCAAAAUUAAAUUCUCAUUUCUUACAGUUAUUCUCACAGAUUCUUUUCAUAUUAAAAUGUAAGUUUCUCAGUUUAGUGUACACUUAUUUUUCAAGGUUUUAUUUGACAAAAAAAAAAA
rnacentral:lncRNA from 1 species